GUGGAAAUAAGGCUCUCUCUAUAUGCUUUAGUUUGAGCAUGGGUUUUUUCUAAAAAUGUAAAUAUUUCUCCAAAUAAUUUUGUCAGUUUUCGAUAGGAAGAUGGGCCACACCUUGCUCUUUGUUCCAACUCUACACUUUUUCAGUUUACUGCUCUGCUGUGGAAACAUUCAAGCAUGGCGACCGAUCCUGACUGUGUCUCCAUCAUGGCUCAGCCCUGAAGUCUUAGUCACUCUAAGCUGUAAGGUUAAAUAUCCAGCUCCUGGUUGGGUGUUCUACUGGUAUAAAGCUGUUCCUGAUCUACAGAACAAUAACUAUAGAUAUAAGCCACUGCCUGACAGCAUCAAUGGGACUGUAGAGGACUCCUUCAUCAUUCAUGGACAGAGACACACAGCAGGAUAUGCAUGUAGAGCUGGAAGAGCAAACCCAGAGAGUUUAACUGAUUACAGUGAACCAAAGUUUGUCUGGUCUGCAGGUCUUCUUCCAAAAGCAUCUCUCACAGUGAAACCUGACAGAAAGAAACUUUUCAUCUUAGAAUAUGUCCAAAUGAGCUGUCAGGGAAACUCAGCUGACUGGAGAGUGAGGAAGUUUGAAAUAACCGGAUUUUCAGCCUAUUUAUCAGUUUGCUCCAAUUGGGGAACAAUGACUGGAUCUUCAUGCAGAGUUAACAGUCGCUGGCCCAGUGAAGCCGUGUACUGGUGUGAGUCUGGAUCAGGAGAAUUCAGCAAUGCAGUCAACGUCACCU